rnacentral:rRNA from 1 species
GACGAACCGAGCGAACGUUGUUCGGAAUCACUGGGCUUAAAGGGCGCGUAGGCGGAUACUCAAGUCUGUGGUGAAAUCCUCCGGCUCAACCGGAGAACUGCCAUGGAUACUGGGUGUCUCGAGGGUGGUAGGGGUAUGCGGAACUAUCGGUGGAGCGGUGAAAUGCGUUGAUAUCGAUAGGAACUCCGGUGGCGAAGGCGGCAUACUGGACCACAUCUGACGCUGAGGCGCGAAAGCCAGGGGAGCGAACGGGGA